CUUGAGGAGUACAGAUUCACCUUGAAGGAGUCCUGCUUCGAAGCCGGCGAGAUUAGUGAGUUUAGGACAAUGAACUGGCUUGGUGAAGUCAGCAUUUGCAGGACCUUGAAGAGAGCGAAAGUGAAUGCUUACUAAGUGCGUAGCCUAGUCCCGACCCAGCACACGGAAGACGGUCUAACCAGCCGCACAGGCUCCGUGCUGGCUCCUCGAAGGACAGGAAUGUUUCUGGUGAAAACACCAUUUAUCUUCCAUGGAGCUGCCAUUCACCAACCUGGAGGUGGCGUUCAUUUUACUGGCUUUCCUCAUCUUUUCCUUGUUUACUCUGGCUUCCAUCUACACCAACCCGAAUGAGAGGAAUGAAGAUGAGGACCUCCACCUAAAGGAAAAGAGAAGGAAAAGAAAAGAGUUUAAAAAGAAAAAAUGCUCAGAGGAAGAACACAGAAUUGAAACAAUGUAACCAUGACCCCGGCCACCUGUGAAUGCACAGAGGCUCCCCUCAGAAUGCCUGCUGGGAUUGCUCAAGGCCCCCAAGACCAAGGACAUUAAAACAGUCUUCAGAUCAUAAUCACUAGGACUCAACACGGGGAACCAGGCUUCAUACUUUCUUUUUGACAUCCUUGUUCCAAGAUAUUUAUAAUGCCGAUUAUGAGCACUUGCUGUAAUAAAAAGGAAUACAGUUGAAGUAAAA
rnacentral:sRNA from 1 species